CUCAAAGGCAGCUCAGCCCAACACAAGGUCACAGACAACCAGUUGCGGGGUCAAGGUCCAAGCUGAGAAAAUAAAAUGUGAUCUAUGUGAAAAGCCAGGCAAACAAAUUGUUAUGUGGAUCAGGACUUGCUGGCUCUGGUGCAAGAAGAGAGACAGGAGCUAAUGCCAUACCCUUAAGAAGCACUGCCAGCCGGGAGUUGUUCUGAGUCCUGCCUGUUACUGGAUGCCCUUGGAAUUAGAUGCUAAAAUAUUGGGCUGUAAUAGCCUUGCUAGAUAUCUGGAAUCCUGCAGAUUAUAUCUCUAGUUUUCUGAAAUAGCCAUUUUUGCUCACCUAGGUUCAAACUGAGGACAGCAAAGCUUUACAGCAGCAGCAGCAAAUGUAAUGUACCUGGAUCUCAAGUUCCAAGCACUACCACACUGCUAAUAGCUACAGCAUCAGUGGAAAAUA